GUGAGGAAUUUUCCGCAAUGGGCGAAAGCCUGACGGAGCAACGCCGCGUGAAGGAUGAAGGCCUAUGGGUUGUAAACUUCUUUUCUCAGAAAAGAAUUAUGACGGUAUCUGAGGAAUAAGCAUCGGCUAACUCUGUGCCAGCAGCCGCGGUAAGACAGAGGAUGCAAGCGUUAUCCGGAAUGCUUGGGCGUAAAGCGUCUGUAGGUUGUUUAAAAAGUAUUCUGUCAAAGAUUAGGGCUUAACCCUAGAUAGGCAGAAUAAACUUUUAAGCUAGAGUUUGGUAGAGGCAGAGGGAAUUCCCGGUGGAGCGGUGAAAUGCGUAGAUAUCGGGAGGAACACCAAAGGCGAAGGCACUCUGCUGGGCCAAUACUAACACUGAGAGACGAAAGCGAGGGGAGCAAAUGGGAUUAGAAACCCUAGUAGUCC
rnacentral:rRNA from 1 species